rnacentral:lncRNA from 1 species
CUAUUUUGAGGGCCGUUGGGUCACCGGCCUCAAACUUUCAGUGGUCGUGUUUGGUAGAGAAGAGGGAAAGGAGGAUGCCCUCGUUUCGAAGAAGAAGAGAGUUAUUCUCUUUCUUCCAUCCUUUCUCUAUCUUCCUUAGUGUGUUGUUUAUUAUUUUAUUUUUUAGAUAGAUCAAGAGGUCUAUAGGGGAAAAAGGAUUCA